rnacentral:RNase_P_RNA from 1 species
AGUGCGGGUUGGCUUAUCGCGGCUGAGCAAUCAGAUGAGGAAAGUCCGGGCAGCACAGAGCACUCUACUUCCUAACGGGAAGGCGGACGACUGGCGACGGUCGUUCGACAGCCAGGGCAACAGAAAAUAUACCGCCAGAUUUUUUAAUGGCGAAUGAGUGACUGAUAGAAUGAGUGAAUACCGUCCGGUAAACCUGUUUUGGGCCAGCUAUUCACUCAUUCUAUCAGUCACUCAUUCACUCAUUAAGUUCUGGUAAGGGCGAACCGGUGGGGUAAGAGCCCACCGCCCAGUGGGUGACCAGUGGGGCACGGUAACCCUUAGAGGCUGAAAGACCAAAUAAGCGUCGGAUGUGGGGCUGCUCGUCCCCGUUUUGGAGCCAUCCAAAUGCCGACGCGGGUAGGUCGAAGGAGGUGGUUGGUGACGACCAUCCUAGAUAAAUGAUAAGCCAUGCUGACCGGCAAUUUUUGUCGGUUGGCAGGACAGAACCCGGCUUAUAGACUCGUAUUGGAC